rnacentral:rRNA from 1 species
GAAUGAUCAAGUGUCUUAAGGGCAUUUGGUGGAUGCCUUGGCAUGCACAGGCGAUGAAGGACGUGAUACGCUGCGAUAAGCGUCGGGGAGGUGCGAAUACCCUUUGAUCCGACGAUUUCCGAAUGGGGAAACCCACCUUAGAUAUCUAGAAAAUUAUUUUGGUUGGAAGAUUGAUCACAACCAUUGGACGGGCUGCCUUCCCAGAAGGACGCGCCCAUACAGACCGCUAGGUCGUCGGCCACUUUUGGCCGCCCCAGCGGAGCGCCAGUCCGAAGGACGUACGGCGCGUGAGCGAUCGGUAGAACCAAAAUAAUUUCUAGAUAUCAAAAUAAGGUAUCUAACUUUCGAAUACAUAGGGGUUAGAAGCGAACCCGGGGAACUGAAACAUCUAAGUACCCGGAGGAAAGGACAUCAAACGAGACUCCGUAAGUAGUGGCGAGCGAACGCGGACCAGGCCAGUGGCUUUUAUGAGACAAGUGGAACACCUUGGAAAGGGUGACCGAAGUGGGUGAUAGUCCCGUACACGUAAUGCGAAUAAAAGUCCUUGAGUAGGGCGGGACACGUGAAAUCCUGUCUGAACAUGGGGAGACCACUCUCCAAGCCUAAGUACUCGUGCAUGACCGAUAGCGAACCAGUACCGUGAGGGAAAGGUGAAAAGCACCCCGACAAGGGGAGUGAAAGAGAUCCUGAAACCGAAUGCCUACAAACAGUUGGAGCCCAAGAUUUGUUCUGGGUGACAGCGUACCUUUUGUAUAAUGGGUCAGCGACUUAGUCUGACGAGCAAGCUUAAACCGGUAGGUGUAGGCGCAGCGAAAGCGAGUCUGAACAGGGCGUUCAGUUCGUCGGAUUAGACCCGAAACCAAGUGAUCUAGCCAUGAGCAGGUUGAAGGUAAGGUAACACUUACUGGAGGACCGAACCCGCAUCUGUUGCAAUAGAUUGGGAUGACUUGUGGCUAGGGGUGAAAGGCCAAUCAAACUUGGAGAUAGCUGGUUCUCCGCGAAAUCUAUUUAGGUAGAGCGUCGAUCGAAUACCUUCGGGGGUAGAGCACUGGAUGGGCUAGGGGAUCUCACCGAUUUACCAAACCUAACCAAACUCCGAAUACCGAAGAGUA